rnacentral:rRNA from 1 species
AAGGGAGCUUGCUCCUGGAGGUUAGCGGCGAACGGGUGAGUAACACGUGGGCAACCUGCCUGUAAGACUGGGAUAACAUCGAGAAAUCGGUGCUAAUACCGGAUAAUAAAAAGAACUGCAUGGUUCUUUUUUGAAAGAUGGUUUCGGCUAUCACUUACAGAUGGGCCCGCGGCGCAUUAGCUAGUUGGUGGGGUAACGGCUCACCAAGGCGACGAUGCGUAGCCGACCUGAGAGGGUGAUCGGCCACACUGGGACUGAGACACGGCCCAGACUCCUACGGGAGGCAGCAGUAGGGAAUCUUCCGCAAUGGACGAAAGUCUGACGGAGCAACGCCGCGUGAGUGAUGAAGGUUUUCGGAUCGUAAAACUCUGUUGUUAGGGAAGAACAAGUGCCGUUCGAAAGGGCGGCACCUUGACGGUACCUAACGAGAAAGCCACGGCUAACUACGUGCCAGCAGCCGCGGUAAUACGUAGGUGGCAAGCGUUGUCCGGAAUUAUUGGGCGUAAAGCGCGCGCAGGCGGUCUCUUAAGUCUGAUGUGAAAGCCCCCGGCUCAACCGGGGAGGGUCAUUGGAAACUGGGAGACUUGAGUACAGAAGAGGAGAGUGGAAUUCCACGUGUAGCGGUGAAAUGCGUAGAGAUGUGGAGGAACACCAGUGGCGAAGGCGACUCUCUGGUCUGUAACUGACGCUGAGGCGCGAAAGCGUGGGGGA